rnacentral:lncRNA from 1 species
CCAGGUUGUUGUUCAUGGAUUUCUAUAUGUUUCUUAGAAACCUGGAAACAUGUUACAGUUAGAGAAACUCCUACAGUGGCUCUCCUGGACCUGACCCAGCUUUCACAAUUUUGCUAGUCGUAUUCCGUUGCUCACCACCAGAGGGCACUGUUCUCCCCACACACGGGGCAGGGUCCUCAUAGGCCCGAGGAAAGCUCACUGCAGCCGGUUUGCAGAAGGCAGAAGCUGAGCAGAGAGCGUGGAUGUACGUGGGGAGGCAGUGCAGGUGGGGUCUGUGGGGUGGAUGGUGCAGGUGGGAUGUAUGUGCGGGGGCGGUGCAGGUGGGGUCUGUGGGGUGGAUGGUGCAGGUGGGGUCUGUGGGGUGGAUGGUGCAGGUGGGAUGUAUGUGCGGGGGUGGUGCAGGUGGGGUCUGUGGGGUGGAUGGUGCAGGUGGAUGUAUCGUGGGGGUGGUGCAGGUGGUGUGAGGGGUUGGGAUGAGGACUGGGGGGGGGU